rnacentral:rRNA from 1 species
UACGGAGGGUGCAAGCGUUAUCCGGAUUUACUGGGUUUAAAGGGUGCGUAGGCGGGCAGGUAAGUCAGGGGUGAAAUCUUCGAGCUUAACUCGGAAACUGCCUUUGAUACUAUCUGUCUUGAAUAUUGUGGAGGUAAGCGGAAUAUGUCAUGUAGCGGUGAAAUGCUUAGAUAUGACAUAGAACACCUAUUGCGAAGGCAGCUUACUACGCAUAUAUUGACGCUGAGGCACGAAAAGCGUGGGGGAUCAAACAGG